rnacentral:rRNA from 1 species
CCUACGGGCGUCAGCAGUGGGGAAUAUUGCGCAAUGGGCGAAAGCCUGAUGCAGCGACGCCGCGUGAGGGAUGAAGGUAUUCGGUUCGUAAAGCUCUGUCAGCAGGGAAGAACGGUCACUGUGCUAAUCAGCAGUGAAUUGACGGUACCUGCAAAGGAAGCACCGGCUAACUCCGUGCCAGCAGCCGCGGUAGUACGGAGGGUGCGAGCGUUAAUCGGAUUUACUGGGCGUAAAGCGCGCGUAGGCGGUAUGUCAAGUCAAGGGUGAAAUGCCCGCGCUCAACGUGGGAACUGCCUUUGAAACUGGCAAACUGGAGUGUGUGAGAGGAUAGUGGAAUUCCAGGUGUAGGAGUGAAAUCCGUAGAUAUCAGGAGGAACAUCAGUGGCGAAGGCGACUAUCUGGCACAUAACUGACGCUGAGGAGCGAAAGCGUGGGUAGCAAACAGGAUUAGAUACCCUAGUAGUC